rnacentral:rRNA from 1 species
UACGGGGGGGGCUAGCGUUGUUCGGAAUUACUGGGCGUAAAGGGCGCGUAGGCGGCCUGCUAAGUCGAACGUGAAAUCCCUGGGCUCAACCCAGGAACUGCGUCCGAUACUGGUUGGCUUGAAUCCGGGAGAGGGAUGUGGAAUUCCAGGUGUAGCGGUGAAAUGCGUAGAUAUCUGGAGGAACACCGGUGGCGAAGGCGACAUCCUGGACCGGCAUUGACGCUGAGGCGCGAAAGCCAGGGGAGCAAACGGG